CAGGUCCGAUCUCUUCCAAUCAUGUAGAGGGUGAAAAAUAUGACUAACUAGAGUUUUAGAGGGAUUGAGAAGUAGAAGGUUGCAUAUGUUGUGUACCAGGUCGGAUUAUUAAUCAUGCAAAGGAGACAACAUAUGACUAACAGACAGAAAGAAUAGCAUAGAUAGAAGAUGCAGAGAGACAGAGUUGCAUAUGUUGCAGUGCAGGUCGGAUCUUUCGAUCACACAAAGGAGGAAACAUAUUGAUGGGUUUUAGCCAUAAGAACAUCCUAUGUGCUCAUGCAAACCAUAAUGCUUGGAUCUAGGUUUCUCUAUUGUACAUAUAAUUCAUCCAAGACUUUAAACCCUAGAUCUAGCAUACAAUUAAUCUAAUUAACUUAAGAAUGGGUUUUAAGAUAUUACCUUGAUUGUUAUAUAGCAAUAACAAUCUCAAAUCCUUCUUGUAUUGACGUUAGAAAGCUUAGAGUCACAAAUGUCACUCCUCUAAUGGUUCACAAACACCAAGAGCAAGAGGAUGAAGAAGAUAAGAGAAGGAGGCUGCCCAAAACAUGUGGAAACCCUAGAAGGAGUCUUAGCCACGUUUUUGGAGCUUAAUGGCACUUUAUAUACAUGUAGGCUAUUAGGGUUUUGAACUAGGAAACCCUAAACUGACUGCUUAAGCCCUAAGCAGCCCAUGGACCCUUCUUUAAUAAGCCUUGGACGAUUUCUAAUGGGUUUCCCAUAGAAUUCGUCCAACCUUAUAUUAUAAGGUAAUCCAUAGCCCAGUUGCAAUUAUCUUAUAAAUACAAUUCUAGUCCCUUAAGUUUAAUUAAUCUCUUUUAGUCACAAACUUAAUUAUCAAUUAAUUCUUGACUAAUAUUAAUUAAACAAUAUGAUUUCUCCUUUAAUAUAUUAUUCUCAUAAUAUAUUAAUAAAUCAUAUUUAAUCCUUUCUCUCCAUAAUUCAUCCUAUCAAGUUGCUUUGGUGAAGGCAACCCAAAAGGACCAUGCACCAUCGGGUCAAGUACAUACCAAAAUAGUUAUGGACUUAGACACUAAUCCAACAGUCUCCCACUUGGAUAAGUCUAAUAACUAUUAUGCGUAUGACUUCAGAUCCUGAUCUGCAAUCGUAGCUUUCUAAAGCCGCUGUCAACUCUGAUCCUAUCAGAUACGCGUGUCCUUUAGAUAAGGGAUCAUAUAUUCCUCCAUUCUAGAUAUCGUAUAAGACAUGAUUUCUAAUCAUUCUCUCUGUACUAUUUCUCGACUUCCGAUUUAUGACGACUGACUAAUUGAACAAAUCAAAUUAGCCCUAGCCCGGCCGAGCAUUUACGUUUGUCAUCACUAAAUCAUCGAGGGGCCCAAAGAUAUCGCUUUUAUCCUACUUUGGAUAAAAGGAACGGAUAAACUUUGAUUCAAUGCUUGCUUGCACUCACUCACCGAAUCACACACAACAAUAUGUUUUAUAACACCAAGUUACUAGUGCGUUUACAUAUUAUCAAUGUGCAACCGAUUCGCAAGAUACAACUCACACAUCUCGGUUUCAAGAAUAUAAGAUGUUAUCGUCUCACCAAUCACUCGUGAUACAAUUCAUGGAGUGAUCCAAGUGAGCGUGGGUUUAAUCCAAUGCUCAAAUCAUAUUCAUAAGCACUCAUGAACGUUGCAGCAAACAUUUGCUUAUGUCUAAUACUCUUUAGACAAUCCACACACCAAUUCACGACAGUCUUCAUUCAUACCUACUUCCAACAUAUGAACGACUGUGGCCCGUUCGAAUAAUUCGACUGUUCUUAACCAAUUAAAUUAUUCAGGAAGUCAAAACAUGCAAAGUGAAACACAAGAAUAAUACUAAUCCCAUAUGGCCUCAAACCUUUGAGUAUAAAUAAAACACCUUUUAUUUAUCACCAUAUCGAUUACUCAUUAUUUGUCGUUUCGGGUAAUCAACUUCUUACUUGAAUUAUUACACUUGUCCCAUGCUCUUAGCAUGCACACAAUGUUUACCUAUGGUUCUUACUUUGUGAAAUAGAUCAAAUUGAACACAUUUCCAAUCAUUCUCAUUUCACAACUCCAAAUCCUUUUUCAUAAGUGAAAGAAUAUCAAAUUCUUGCUACUUAUAGAAUAUGCUAGAUUCUAACAUUCUAUGCAACGAUCCUUUCGUAAUGUCACUGCACCAAAGUCACAAAGACUAUUGCCAAUGAUAUUACAAAGUCCUCUAUCGGAGAUUGUUACAAGACAAUUCCUUAGAUAUGAUGUCUCUCACUCAAAGUACAUUCCUUUGAACAUCCUUUUGCAUAAAAGUUUCUAAUCUAGACAUAGAUUUUCAAUAUUCAAUUCCCAAUAUGGACACGUUUCCAUAUUUUCCAUAUGACAACUCAUUCUUAAUAGAAUCUUAUCUAUUCAUAAUAAUGUCGAUAUGGUCCAUCCAAUAUGGAAACAUUUCCAUAUUUUCCAAUACUAUACUUCCAACUACUCACAAGCGACCAAUCCUCGUCGAACUUUGGAUUGUCCUUUGAUAGUUGUUUAAUUAUUUUAGUCAAAACCGAUUCUAGUCCUUUUUCCCUCUAAAUGCGCUAGACAUUUGGAAAAUUUUAGAAUGGUCAAACAUUAAAGCAUUUGCAAUCGAUCCUAUACCCGAAGCGUAUGGGACACGACGCAUAAUGUUUUAUUUGCUAUGUUCUCAAAAUUCGAAUUGUGAAGAGGAAUGCCGUAAUCAUAAUCGAAAUUUUAAGAACACACUAUGUACCUUUGACUAAAUUUAUUAACAUUUCUCAACCUAAUCCUUUAGAUUUGAAAUGAAGCAUAAUAUUCUCUCCCUUAAUUAUAGCAAAACAACUUUUCAACUCUUACAACUUUGCAAAGUAUGACUCUUGUUUUCUAUAAUUAAUAUUGCUAACUUGCAAGACUUGCCUUAAUAAUCAUACAAUCAUAACAUUUAUGCUCCCACUAUCAUGAUGAUUAUUAUAAACAUAACACUUGUGCUCUCACUAGCUUUGACAUCUAUUCAGAAACAACUUAACUUUCAAAAAAACAAUUCCUAUUGAAUUUCUUAAGUUCAUGUUUCAAAUACCUAAUGCUUUGAUAAUCCUUUAUCUAAGCUUAUACACCUUUCCCUUAGAUAGCUCAUAUGUGUGUCUAAACAAUUCAGACUAAUUUCCAGAUCUCACAAAUCGAAUCAUAGAAAAGGAUACCGUAACCAUAAUCGAAUUCGAGAAUCCAAUUUUCACAUUCACUAUCUUCUUAAAAAAUCUUUCUUAGUGAAAGCAUUUCCUCACAGUCAUUUUCAUGAAGNUCACAAUCAUUUUCAUGAAGGAGGAAGUCUUAUGACACUUAGAUUUAAACGGUGUAUGUGUUCCUAUCCAUGUGAAUUCAAACUCAUAUGGAUCAAACUUUCUUAAUCUUGAAUUCUUGCCUUUAUGGUAGCACAGCUACCCAACAUGUCUUCCAAGUAGUUAAGCAGCUCACCUUUUCUUAUCAAUGUACUUUCCAUUGAUCAAGGUCCUUGCCUUAUAUGCAUUCAAAUGAGAACUCAUAGCGCUCAUAUGGAUAAUUAACUCAAUUGGAACGGCACAGAAACAAGAUAAUGUCAACACGAUAGGUUGUAAACCUCUACUCGUGUGCUGGUGAUGAUCGAUAAAGUUUAUUCUUGAUUAGUUCUUAAAAUUUUCAGGAACAUUAAUGCUCCCACUGACUCUUUGACAUAUAAGAUUCUCUUGUCAAUAAACAUUUCUUGACAACCAAAUAUUCAAGAGUUAGUGUAGCUUUUAUCAAGACAAAAUUGGUCCUAGUUGGUCUUUGUCUUAUACAAGACAUCACAACUUACCAAUUUCAAAUUUGCAAGAAUAAGGAAUUUUUUUUUUCUAAAUUCUACAUUUGAUGAAUGUUAUAAACCUUCUUAAGACUUGUCACUCAAUGUCACAAUCUUAACUCUAAGACUUGUUUUGGAAUGAAGUAUGAUUGACUUUCUGAUUUAACCAUUUCUUCAAUUCUUGAUUCCUCUUCUUAUACAUACAAUUGCACUAAGACUCACUUAGAGGAUCAAUUGAGAUAUGGUUCUUAAUCAUUAAGACAUAUCAUAAAGCAUAAAAGGUACUCUCCUUCUUCUUAGAAUAGAGAUACUUUUAUCUUUCUGUCUACUUGAUUCUUCUUAUUUGUUCUGCUAAUGAUUUAAACUUUUUCAAUCAAUUCAGAAUUGUACUUAAUCUUGUAAGUAUAAUCACAUUUACUAAACUUUUAUUAAAUCAUGACGAAUAUCUUUGUUACUCUUGUGGUGGACUUGAUCAACACACAACUUUGUGUACUCGAUCUCCUAGUCCUUCUCUUGACCCUUUGUCAACGAAUUAGUCUAAUUUCCAAAUAUGAAAUUUCUCAUUCAUUGUGCAACCAAGUUGCAUGAUUCCAAGUUUCUGUCCAAUUGAAACUUGGGCGAUGAGAAACACUCCCUAUUUGGUAAAUUCUUUGACAUUUCCACAAUUAUCAUAAUUAAGAAUCACAUCCACUCGUUGUAGAAUUAUACGAACAUCAAUUUUUCAUAACGAUUUCAUUGCAAGGAAAUAAAUAAAUAAAUGAGUCAAAUCAAAAUUUAUUUUAUUCAUAAAAGUAGCGGAAAACAUUUGUCCUUACAAUGCAAAAUUAACUGAAAAACUAUGUAAUCAAAUAUUCCUAACAACUCUAUCAUAACUUUCUAAGCUCAAAAUCUAAUCUUCAAGUCCAUGCGAUCGAGAUCCAUUUCUUUGUGAUUAGAUUCAUCUUGCUCUUCCAUCAAGCUUCCUCUCUUUUCACUGAUCCUGCAAAACAUUCAAAUGCAAUCUUAUCACAUUAUGUAUUAAGAAUCAACGAAUAGGAACUUAAUGGAGUUAGAUAGUGGAUUUUACCUGAAGCACAGCCAUACUCUUUGACUCUCCCAUCUUCUGGACUCUUCAGGCUCUUAGGGCAGACUUGUAUCCAACGCCCUUUCUCUUGGCAGCAAACGCAGGUCGGUUCUCCUAGAACAUCCUCGGAAGCAUGGUUGGUUGACUUUUCUAACAAAUACGCUCCAUUGCUUUGCCAAAUCAUUUCUGAUUCAGCAGCAAUGAGCAUGUAAGUUAGGUCAAUGAGGUUUUCGUCAUGAUCCAUCAUAUAAUACUUUCUUUUGAACUCAUUAUAUGAUUCAGGGAGUGACUGCAGAACCCAGUUCACAGCCAACUUAUCAGGGAAUGACGCACCCAACAUUAUCAACCUAUCGAUGUGUGAUUUCAUUCCUAGAACGUGGGCACACACGGGUUUACCAUCUUCAUGUUUCAUUUCCAAUAGGGCUUUAGUGACAUUGAACCUUUCAAUUCUUCGAUCUUGUGGGUUAGGGAGAAUAAUUGGAGGAGGUGGAGGAAGUGAAGCAUGAUUUCUUAUUCCUCGAUCGAAUCGUGGAAUAUCAUCUUCAUGUGGAAAGCUUGUUCCACGGGAUUUGGGAAGACCAUGGCUGUCGUACUUUGACAUCUACAAAACGGGAGAAAAAUAGAUUCAAGUUAGUUGAUAGAUUGAGUCCUUAAUAAAUCACCCAGAUGAGAUAUUAAGGCUAGGACCCAACACAAUACGCUAUAACCUAGAAAAGGGAUGCCUUAAUCUAGUUGCAGAAUAUUUGAAGGUAAGUGAAUGACGAUUCACUAAUUUUCCACCAUGAAAAAUGGAAAAAAAUUUAAGUUUUAAAUCUAUGAAAACUCCUAGAUCCUUUGAGAUUCAUUGAACAUUUCAAUGGCAUGUUUAAAUCUCGAUAUGCCCCUCUAGUUUGUGACUGGGAUGCCGAGGAUCACAAAGCGGGUGUGAAUAACCAUGCNGAAUAACCAUGCAAACUUAGAUAGGCCCCCAAUGUUACAGUCACCUAUUCGAUGUGCCGGUUAACCACACACGCUCCAUCGAACUAUGACAAACAUUGAGUCACCCUUUGCAACCUUUGCUCAGAACCAUUUAGUGUCCCGAUUAACCACACACGCUCCACUAACGUCCUCGCAAGGGUACAAAGUGUAAUUUCAUGGAAUUGCAUCAAUUCACUUUUGCCUAAAGUAACUAAGAUUGGGAAUUAGUAAAAAUAUGUGGUUACUUUUGUACUUCAUUAUACUUAUAAUGGAAGGUUUCUGUCCUAUCCUACCCAUUCGGCUAACGACCCUCCACUAGUCAAGAGUGCGGUGGGUAAGAGUGGAUACCCAUUCAAUCGCCAUUUUAUAGGCAAUUUCCUUAAACACCCCUCAUAAACCAUCAUCGUGAAUGAGGCCUAUUAACGGUAAGACUGACUUUUACUCAUACAUAUAUAUAAUGUUAGACUUUUAAUGUUAUAUAUAGUAUAGGGUGUAUUUUACACUUUUAAAAUAUUAGGUGGUCAAAUUUAACAAUUAUACUUUUAAUUCAAUUCAAUUGUAAACCAAAACUGUAUGGAUUUAUUAAACCUCUUUUAAUUAUACACCUUAAUUAAUUAAUAAAACCAUAAGGGUGUGAUUUGAACUUUUCAAAACAAUACUAGGGUUUUAUAAUUUAACAUUCAUAUAUUAAACUUUUAAUCAACUUUUAAAUUCCAAAACUUGAGGGCAAGUUUUGAAACAUUUCAAAACAUUAGGGUUUAGAAUUUAAAUAUACAUCAAAAUUAAACUUUUAAUCAAAAUUUAAAUUCCAAAACUUGAGGGCAAGUUUUGAAACCUUUUCAAAACAUUAGGGUUUCAACUAUUUAAAUUUCAAAACAAAAACUUUUGAGUUCAAAUUUAAACUAUAAAACCUAAAAGGGGGAAAACUGAAACUUUUCAUUACACAAGGAUCAAAUAACAAAUAAUAUAAAUUAAACAAUUAAUUUUAUCAUUAUCUAUAUUUGACCUAAUUUCAAUUUCUUGCAAAAUAAGUUACCCAAUUAAUACAAAUAAUCAAACUUUAAUCAUAUAAGGAAGUUACUAUCUAAUCAAUUGGUAAUAUCUUUUCUUUAAUCAAGGAUAUACUCAUAAAUGUGUAUAAAAUCGGAUUUUAAUGACCUAAAAUAGAUAAGGCAAGUAUCCAUGAGUAAAACAACAAGAAAUCCUGAAAUCCCCUCUUUCUGACGCUCAAACUCGCCAAGUACCCCUACAGACUCGCCGAGUAGGGGCCUACUCGCCGAGUCCACAAUGGGACUCACCGAGUUCAUCAGGCAGGGAGGCCAAAAAACGAUUUUGUUGCUUAGACAAACAUACAAGGCAUCAAUACAAUAGAAACCAAUCAAGGCUCUGAUACCACUGAUGGGUUUUAGCCAUAAGAACAUCCUAUGUGCUCAUGCAAACACUCAUGCUUGGAUCUUGGUUUCUCUAUUGUACAUGCAAUUCAUCCAAGACUUUAUACCCUAGAUCUAGCAUACAAUUAAUCUGAUUANGGGUUUAGAUCAUACCUUGAUUGUUAUGUAGCAAUAACAAUCUCAAAUCCUUCUUGUGUUGACUUUAGAAAGCUUAGAGUCACAAAUGUCACUCCUCUAAUGGUUCACAAACACCAAGAGCAAGAGGAUGAAGAAGAGAAGAGAAUGAGGCUGCCCAAAACGUGUGGAAACCCUAGAAGGAGUCUUAGCCACGUUUUUGGAGCUUAAGGGCACUUUAUAUACAUGUAGGCUAUUAGGGUUUUGAACUAGGAAAUCCUAAACUGACUGCUUAAGCCCUAAGCAGCCCAUGGACCCUUCUUAAUAAGCCUUGGACGAUUUCUAAUGGGUUUCCCAUAGAAUUCGUCCAACCUUAUAUUAUAAGGUAAUCCAUAGCCCAAUUGAAAUUAUCUU
rnacentral:lncRNA from 1 species